GAGGAAAAUGGCUCUUGUUUAAAAUCUUGGGACUCUAGGAUUGGUUCAGGAAAAUGAAUUCUAGGACACUGUUGUAGAACAAACUCUGAUUGGUCUGAUCCAAAGGUGGUGAUAACAAGUCUGAGAGGUUCUAAACCAGGAAAGUUGCCUCAUUCUACAGAAAGACUGGAAAGUUUGUCAGAAAUCAACAUAGAUGAAAUAACAACCAAAGAAUUGGAAGUUUUGCAGAAGAUAAAACCUGGUUUGUCAAUUGUGCAUAAUGCAGCAUCCAGCCAUCAGAACCCAGGUACAAAGACAAGGAGGAUGGAAUGUCUUUUAUCUCAGUGUCAUACAUUCAUCUGCAGACUAAUGUCUCGGAGUGCAGAACUAAUGUGGAAUAUUUUUGUGAUGCACUGUCGGGAGGUUGGACUCGGUCUGCUGUUAAGCAUUGCUACAUAUUGGCUUCACUGGCUGAUGUAUAUUUAAGUAUCUGAAAUGGAAGGUUGUAUAGAGAAUUUACAAAUCUUGAGACAGUUUUUGACUUCCUUUAAGGAAUCACAGUAGCACAAGAGAUUUGAACUGGGAAUUGCUUUCCCUUUAAAGCUGGCGUGUCAAAUACCUGGCCCAUGUGAUGUAUUUUUGUUGCUGUAUCACAUACUCAGAUUCUGCAGAGUAGAAGCUUUUCUUUAUUGACUUUUUAAAAGUAACUUUUUUGGCCUCAUAGUUGUGAAGAAAAUUUCCUGUAUGUGAAAUGAGUGUCACUGAAGCAGCGAUGUCUGGCUGAGUCUGCAUGCAGAUGGCCUGAGGACCCUGGGAAGUGUGAAUGCUAAUGCAAACCCUGCCCCUCCGUAAUCUCCCUAGGGUGCUAGUUCUAAAUCCCCAAUUCAAUGUCAACAUGAACUAUGUCAUUGCUGAUCAGUUUAGGGGAUGGAAUGGGGAAGAGGGUGGGAAGCAGGUCCAUACGGGUGGGAAGAUGGGAGUUAACAGGGAAGGAAAACCAGAAGAGACACACAGACAGUGAAGAGGGGAGAUAAACAAAGGGAAAAAAUAAGAACUAGUCCUAAAGGAGAGGAGAUUUACCCAGUGACUGAUACUGAAUGUGACAGGAAAACACAGAUCAAAUAAUAAACAACAGAACUUUU